rnacentral:rRNA from 1 species
UACGGGAGGCAGCAGUGGGGAAUCUUGCGCAAUGGGCGAAAGCCUGACGCAGCCAUGCCGCGUGAAUGAUGAAGGUCUUAGGAUUGUAAAAUUCUUUCACCGGGGUACGAUAAUGACGGUACC